GACGAACGCUGGCGGCGUGCUUAACACAUGCAAGUCGAACGGUGAACUCUCCUUCGGGAGGGGGAUCAGUGGCGAACGGGUGAGUAACACGUGACCAACCUGCCCCUUGCUCUGGGAUAACCCCGGGAAACCGGAGCUAAUACCGGAUACGAGACCGUGCGGCAUCACACGGUCUGGAAAGUUUUUCGGCGAGGGAUGGGGUCGCGGCCUAUCAGCUUGUUGGUGGGGUAACGGCCUACCAAGGCGACGACGGGUAGCCGGCCUGAGAGGGCGACCGGCCACACUGGGACUGAGACACGGCCCAGACUCCUACGGGAGGCAGCAGUGGGGAAUAUUGCGCAAUGGGCGAAAGCCUGACGCAGCGACGCCGCGUGAGGGAUGACGGCCUUCGGGUUGUAAACCUCUUUCAGCAGGGAAGAAGCGAAAGUGACGGUACCUGCAGAAGAAGCACCGGCUAACUACGUGCCAGCCGCCGCGGUAAGAC
rnacentral:rRNA from 1 species